UUUUUUUUUUUUUUUUGAGUUACAUUUUGAUAGUUACCAAUUAAUGUAUAGCUUAACAGAGAGAUGCAUUAAACAAAUAAUUUAUCAAGAGAAAUUAAAUGAUAUCCACACAUCCCUUUAAUCCUUUUAUACACACUUGUUUAUUUUUGUUCAUUAAAUAAGUACUCAACCUAUUGAAAAUGUAAUAUAUGUUAAGCCCCAGUUAAUUUAUUCUAUUAAAUAUACAUGUGGCAACAAUCGAUCCCAAUCUUUAGCUUACUUGGACACCAUAAUAAUAAUAAUAAUAAUAAUAACAUUAAAAAAGACAUGAAGAUGAAAAUGAAUACACAAAUUCACAAGUAAAAUGGAAAAAUGAAGAUUGGGAAAUAUCAAGCCCACACCACCUCCAAACUCAACCCACAACCACUAAAACCCCCAACCUUUAUAUUCAAAAUCCACCAACUAGAUGUAUCAUGAUCAACGUUAAUAUUAGUUGCCUCAAAAUCUAAAUUUUAAAUACGACACGCCCCGACCUCGAUGUCCUCGGGACAUCAGGAUGGUCACGUGCUGGCCGACACUCGAAGGGUGACGAAAGCCAUUUAAUUUAAGUAAAAGCUAAGAAAUAUGCUAAAACGGGCAAUAGGAACUAAUAAUACCAAACUAACGUCCAACUGCUAAUUAAUAAAAUUAUGGUCAUAUACAUAAGUUCAGAGCAUAAGUCUAUUACAGAGUAUAAGCGGAACUUAAGACAGAGAAGUGCUAUAUUACAAUAGGUGCAGAAGCAAAGAAUAUAUAGCACUGAAUCACUGGUAGGGAAAUGCCUCGUAGCUCAUGUCAUAAUCCUCGUUCAUAGGUCCUGAAGGGGGCGCAAAACAAACGUGAGUGGACUAAUUUGAUAUAUAUAUAUAUAUAUAUAUAUAUAUAUAUAUAUAACAGUUAUCAACAUACUAACCCCUAAGUUUAUGAAAAUACAUAUAUAAUGAAAAACAUAGGUUUUCCGAAACCUAGCAUGUUGUGCAAUGUUUCAAAAUAUAACUUGUAUAUAUAAUAAUCACUGGUGAGUGUCUGAUAACCCCCAGGCCCUAUGCCGGCUCCCCGUCUCUGAGCAGACAGUCAGAGGAAAAUACAUUUCAGGCCCCAUGCCAACUCCCCGUCCCUAUGCUAAAUAGCCAAAGGAAACACACUCUAGGCCCUAUGCCAACACCAAACCAUCGCCCGGGACGGACUGGAAUCUAUCCCUACGUCUCGUAGCGAAAAGGACCACUAAGUAAGUACAAAACCAUUAACAUAUUUAUAUUGAAAAACAACUUCAUAGUAUAAAGUCAUCCAUCAUCUAUACUAUAAAGAGGUGUUCUAAACAUGUUCUAAGUAUCAUAUCAUCAUCCAUCAGAUAUUUUAUAAGAACAUGGGUUAUAUGAAAAAUAGUAGUAAUUUAAUCUAGCCUCAGUAAACAUGUUAUAUUACAAAACAUUUCAUAAAACAUAACAUUAAAUCAUGCUUUUCAUGUAUGUAUUUCUACUAUUAAAACAUUCUUUUGAAGGGGUCCACUCAUCAUACAUCGAUGGUGCAAAGCUAUACCAAAAAGGAAUAACAGAAUCACCAUUAAUAAUUGCACCUAUUCACAUGAAGGAGUACCUUUAGUCAAACUCUAAUCAAACAAUUGAAUUUAGGAAAACGAAAUUUAAAAACGGGUCCAAAACGUCGAAAUUAGCCCAAGAGAGGUCCCAGACGAAACCCUGAAAAGUCAACUCCAAAAGUCAACGUUGACUGUUGAUCGGUCAAAGUCAAAGUCAAAGUCAACGGUCAAUUGGGUCAAACGGUCAAAGGUCAGACUGGCUUGGAUUUGGGUUGGGCCGAUUAGGCCCUAAGGGUUUUGGGUCUAAAGGGUUAAUAGGUGGGAUAAGUUAUAAGGGAAAUGGGUUAGGAGCUCUCUAGGCUCAGGCCCAGACCUACACGGCCCGAGGGCCUCAUUAUAAAGAGUUUAGGGGGAUUGGGCUUAAGCCCCUUAAAAGAAAAUGGACCAAAGGGCCCUAUUUAAAUAAAACAAAAGCUAAAUAGGUUUUAGGUUGGGUCAACGGGCCACAGGCCCUAAACAAAACGGUCCAAAGGCCUUUUGGGUUAUAAAGAAAUAAAACAAAAACAAAAUAAAAUAAAAAGGAAAUGGGUUAGGGUUUUGGGUUGAGCUCACCACGAGCCUAAAGCCCGAGUGCCUUAGCAGCUUAAAAGGCCUGGUGCACCGAAGAAGAACGCUGGAGCUUUCCCAGCUCCGACCGACUGCAAACAACAACCCUAGACUCCGAUCUAGGUGCCAAAAUGAAACACAAGACGAGAGGAACAACUUUAUACCUUCCUUUUGCCGUAGAAUAACCGGAGAUGACCGAAAAUUCCCUCAACACCCACGGCCUUGCAGGAGCUGGGUGUGCCUUCCCCUGACUCGAUUUCGUUCUAAAACUUCGACAACAACGCAAUAAACCCAUUCAAAACACAUUCACGUAUGAUUCUAGGACGAAAUAGGAAGAACUCGAAGCUUACCUAACCGGAGAAAUAGGAAAUCUCGCCGGAGAUCGUUUUUUGGGUUUUGUCUUUGUACCACAGGAAAUAAAGAGAGCUGAUGAAGGAUUGAUGAUGAUGGUGUCUUCCUCGCAGGUGAUGCAGCUGGAUGUGUGUGUGUGUGUGUGUUCACGGUGCAAGAGAGGGAGAGAAAGAUGAGGGUUUCGAGAGGGAGAGAGAAGAGAGAAAAAGAAGAAGAUGAAGUCACGGGAGGGGUAGGGGACAGAGAGAGAAAUGUGAGAUUGUUAAGGUGUUGCCACGUGGCAGCUUAAGAAUAAAGAGAAUCAAAGUUUUAGAUCCUGAUAGGGUGAUAGAAUUAGGACUAAAUUGAUAGAUUAAUAACAGGUUUGGGGAUAAUUACCUAAUUAUAUUAUCUAUAAAUGAAGGUGGGUGUAACAAAAUAUGUAUUAUAUAAUAUGGAACCCAAUGAUCAAACGAGUAUUGAAUUGAAUAAAAUAUGGACUAAAAUUGAAAUUACAUAAAGAUGGCAAUCUCCUAACAAAGAAGAGGAUUAAGAAUUCAGAUAAGAUUUCAAAGAGCUUGUUUUUGUUCUUGUGAUUUUUUCAUCGCCAGAAUCCAGAUAAGAUUCCAAAGAGCGUGUUUCUACUCUUGUGAUUUUUUCAUCACCAAUGCUCAUCUUGUAAAACUUCCAGUUCUUCUUUAUGGGCAGUAAAGAUGGUGCUGAGAGCAUCAUGUUAGUCCAUAUCAUUUCAGCAACCUCCAUGACCUUCUUCUUGAUGUUAGCGACUUAAGUUUUAGGGUGGAGUUAAGGGUUGUGCGUUGGGUUUGGAGGUGAUAGCCUAAUAGGGGUAAUGGGGAUCAAUAGUUGGUGGAGGCCAAGCUUCCAAGACAUUCUAUUGAUUUUGGAAACUAAAUAAAACCUAGUUAAUUUUACAUAAAUUUAAUUGGGGCUUAACGAAUGUGACAUUUUCAAUAGGUUGGGUAUUUAUUUGGAAUAUUUAAAAAGGUUGAGACAAAUUUGAAAUGACAAUAAAAGUUUGAGAGGUUUUAGGUACUUAAUCCUCGAUUUCUUUUUAUUUAUUCAUCAAAUGGCUAGCUAGAAAUAUGUAGGGAGAGAAGAUGAUUGUGUGAAAAUCAUUUUCCUUUAUCUAUACAUAUAAAGCCAGAAGGCAAAAACAAAAAUGAUAGCAUAAAUCAAUUAGAAUGAAAAACUCCAAAUUAGGAUAAAAUUAGGUCGAUAAUGCUUAAUUUCUAUUGCAUAUGGCAUAAGAUAAUGGUGGGGUGGUGUUAGCAAAAUGCAAGUGAAAAAUGUAUUUCAUUAGAGUGAGUUAUUAUAUAUGUGAGGUUUUUAUUUGGAAAUUGAUAUUACAUGUACCCUUUUGUGGCAAACCAUGAGAAUGAGGGUAUCCGCCUUGGCAAACGAGUUGUGUUUGCCGUGUUUGGAUCAUGUUUGUUGUGUUCGUGUAACACCUAUUAUCUUAACGGAUCAUCUUGUGUCACACCCACUAUUUUAAAGGGUAAAAUGACUCGACCUGUUAAGAAAAAUAUUUUUUUUCUUUCUAAAUUUGCAAAUGCCAGAUCGCCACAUAAAUAUUACUUCAAAACACAAAAACGCAAUUGUCGUUAAGUGCUAUAUAUAUCUACAUACUCCAUAAUAAGAACCUAAUAAAAAAGUAUCAAUACACUACUAGUAUACUACAAAAUAUAAAAUAUGCAAGGAUAUGCAAAAUGAAGGAGUUUUUCUUUUCAAGGUUGUGAAACCUUUCUAAGAAGUUAAAACCUUCACAAUGAAACUCAAAGCUUGCAUGUCGUUCUUUUUACAAAAUCCUUCUAGUUUCAUCGAUCAUCAUGGAGAAAUUGUAUUGGAACUUUGGCUUGAUCUAUUGUCUUCAAGAGUUAUAUUGAUGAUGUUUUCGGUAAGGCUUUCCACAUCAAAACUCUCUUCCACAUAAACCAAGUAUAGAAAAUCAAACAUUAUAAACCAUUCAAAUUAUGAGAAGUUUACCAAAUAUAAUUAUAAAAAGAAAUAAAACAAUAAUACUAUACCAUAUAAAAAUAUAUUACCUCAUUUUCCAAAUAGCUAAUCUCGUUGCACAACAAAGCUUGAAAUGUUUCUGACAACAAUAAACUACGAUACUAAUCUAGUCUACCCCCAAUACUAAAUGCAAAUUCUGACGCAACAGUUGAAUGAGAAUUGUUAACACAUCUCGUGCUAACUGAGAAAGUAUCAGAUAAUGAAAACACUCGAUUUGUCACUAAGAAAGAACAUCUAUGUCUAAUUUUCUAACUAUUCUUUUAUCCUCCAAAUACUUCUGCAAUUCACUUUUUUCAAUCAAACUUGAACUAUUGUAAUUAUUAUCAAAAUUCUACAUUAUAAAAAAUAAAAAGAAAACAUAAUAAGAAUCAUGCAUCAUGCCAAUUUCAAAUGUAAUAUCAACACUUUUUACAAUACUAGUUAUAUGUUUUUACAAUACUAGUUAUAUGUAUAAAGUAAGACAAAAACAAACUUAGGUUACCUGAAAGAGAACAUCUCCACCUUUUGUUUGAUGAUUAGGCACCAAAUGCACUGGAGUGUUUGAAUUAUCAAGACAAGAAAUAUUAAAUUAAUAUUUUUAGAGGUAUAAAAUCCUACUACUGUUAAGUAUAGUAUUAUGCUUCGUGGUAUAAAAUUAUUAAUUUAAUAUAUUUUUUUUGUGUAACGGGUUAUUCACGUGUAUACAUGAACUGGCCUAUUAUUUUAACAAGUGCUUAUUAGAUUACCAGAUUCGUUAUUAUGUCAACCUGAAAACUUGUUAAUUUCGUGUCAUUUCAUGUCGUGUUAACAGAUCGUAUAAAAAAUUGUAAGCCCGUGUGGUGGCUCCGUCCCUGUUUGAGAGAACUAAAAUCACACAUGAAAGGUGUUUUUCAAUAAAAUCACUUUCUUUUUUUUUGUUUCUUUUCUUUUUUUGUCGAAACAAUAAAAUCACUUUCAAACCUUAGAUAUUUUCUAGGUUAAAGUCAAGACCCCGAGUUUUAGAAGUGACUAUCAAAUUGAUAACCAUUGACAAAAAUAGCUCCCACGAAAAAGGGGUUGGCAGAAAACCUGGGGGCUAUUGCGGUCAAGUUUGAAGUUGAAAAGCCAAAUGGCCUAAAAACACGAUAGCAAUAAUAUUGGAAAAUAUGCAGCAAGUCAUGCCUAACUUUCCGGCUGAGCCAUUCGUCAGGGAAGUAGCAGCAUCCUUAUAGAAGGCUCACACUACAUUGGAAAUUUAGAAUACAAACCAACAUUUGUUUAAUCACAUUCAAGUCUCUCUGUUGAAAGAGUGGCAUGAAAUAAUAAACGUGCUUCUUCAAGUCAUCACCCUCUUCAUUGUCAAUUACUCAAACUGAUCUUCAUAAGUUUGAUUAAUUUUUGCUCAAGUAUCACCUGAAUUUGUAAGCAUAUACGAUAAUACCACAACUUUCAUUUUUUAUUUUUUUACCAUCUGGACACUCUUAACUUUUUUUUUUUUUGAAAUCUAUCACCUAAGUUAUUUUCCAUCCAUUUUACCAUUAAAACAUGCCACAUAUAGAGAUAUUUUCGCCAAUUAACUCAUGGGCGGGCUAGAAUCAAAUUUACUCCCUAAUGAUGUCUAGGUCAAUAUGGUGCCAAAAUUGGUGGUUUGUACAACCCUAGUCCAUCAAUUCCCUCUAUAAGAGUUUGAAAAAUUAAUAUAUAUAUAUAAAUUAAGGUGAACCACGCAUCCACUUGUUGACCUAGAAAACAACUCUUGAAAGCUACUACAAAUGAAAGACAACAUUUUUGCAUAAUUUUCACUUCUAUUCUUCAACAACCCUCGCAAAAUCAAACUUGAAACCAACUUCUCCCUUUCUCUUCAUGAUCUGACUCCAACAACGCUACCAAAAAAAAUGUCUUUUGCCUUCAUACAAAUUGAUUCCAGCAAGCCUUAGGAAGUGAAUUGACAAAAAUAUCCCUCCACAUGAGAGGCACGUGACAUGUUUUAAUGGAAAAUUGGAUGGAAAAUAAUGUAGGUGAUAAAUUCCUACAGUUAAGAGAGUCCAUGUGGUAAAAAUAAAAAAUAAAAAGUUCAGUUGGAAUUGACGCACAUGCUUGCAAGUUUAGGUGAUACUUGUGCAAAAUCCCCUUAAUUUUUUCUUUAACUAAUUACCUAAUUUUUGGCACUUAAAAGUCCAAUUUUUGCUUGAAGCCGCCUUUGUAACGCACAAUUGGUCUUAGUCUAGAACCCAACUAAUUAAUUAUGAUUCAUGUUUGUACGCUCCUAUCAGAUUUCCUUAAUACUCUAUUUUACCGUUCUUAUUUAUUAGUUAUAAAAAUAAAAAAAAUAAAAAAAUAACUGUAAUAUUCAUUAAGGGAAGAAAAAAAUGUUCAACAUUAAGCCCAAAAUUUAAAAUAAAUUUGCAGCAAUCUUUCUAGGAAAUAAAAUUGAUAACUUUUUUAGUUAAAAUCUUCUAGAUGGACUAUAUGUGUGUUAUCUUAAGCAGACUGAGAUUGGAAGUAAAUUUAAAAAAUGUAAGAAGAACAUGAAUUAAUAAUAAAAUAUAACUAUUUGGACACAUAAAAUUAACACGGUUGUUGGCAUGUACACUCUUUAAUAGAGCCGGAAUUCACUUGUAUUGGAGCAUAUGUCAGCAAGUGUUAAUUCUGUGUUUGAAUAUCAUUGUCACAACAUUUAUAAGGGAAGUGUUAUUGGCACUCCAAAAAUCUCAUUCUACACUCCUCACAAGUGUAUUUUUCUUUCCUAAUAUAGAAAGUUUAGAGUGUAGAAUGAGAUUUUUGGAAUACUAAUAACAAUUCCCAUUUAUAAUAUGAUAAUAAAAUCAUAAUCGUAAUUAAUUCAAAGAGGCCAGUUUAGAUGCUAGUGGUCAACUUUAUAUUUAAUUCUUCCUACUCUCCUUUUCCAAGAAGAAAAGCAAACAAAUUCAACAGUAUUAGAACUUUCAAACUUUAUUAUGUAUAUUAGUCAAUAUAUAUGAUGCUGUUGGCUGUGAUGUAGAGUUUAGAAUACAUCAUUUUUCUCUCUCUGAAAACAGUUAUCUAGCCAUGCUGCCCAGAAAUGCUAUGUCUUUGAAGCUGUUAAUGGCGUUUAUGUAUGUAAGCGCAAUCGUUAAUCAUGUAGAAGGCUCGUACUCAGGUACAAACACUGGUACUUACCAUGACCAAAUGAGGCGCAUGGCUUUGAUGAAGGCAUCACAUACCAUCCGCAAUAAGGACUCAACGCCCCAAAGCUAUUCAACACCAACUCUAUAUGUAUGUUUACAUAUAUAUUUUGUUCUUUUAUUUUUGGUUUUAAUUAGUUUUAGUUUUUUUCCAAAUGAUCGAUGUAUGAUUUGUUCAUAUAUAUUGAUUCAGGCGUCCGCAGAAUCACGUGUACAUCACGUGACUGAGUAUGGUGCUGACCCAACCGGAAGAUCAGACAGCACAGAGGCACUACAGCAAGCUAUUUUACAUGCCUUUGGAUCUCCUCUUGAUGGUCACUUGAUCAAGGGUGUUGCUGACCUUGGAGGCACUCAAGUUCACCUUGAUGGAGGGACAUACAAGAUCAGCCGUCCGCUGCUCUUACCAGAUACCGGUGGUGGAAACUUUAUGGUACACCUCCUAACAUUUUUCUUCAACUAGAAUAACCUGAUGGUCGGAAUGCAUUAUGCUUAGAUGGGUUAGAGCCGUUGGUCAAGGCACACUAUUCGUUACCUUGCAACCAAAUUUGAAUAUCAUUCUGUCAUAUUUGAGUUUCGACUCCGUCAAAGCACGAUAUUGUCCGAUUUGGGCUUACAAUUCCCUCACAGUUUUGUUUAUGGGAACUCAUACGAGAACUUCUCAGCGGAUCACCCAUCCUAGGAAUGCUCUCGUCCGAACUCGUUUAACUUCGGAGUUCCGAUGGAAUCCGAAGCCAGUAAGGUUCCAAAAUGUCUCGUGCUAUAUGGAGGUGAGCAUGUACAUAUAAGGCAUAGAUGAUCCACUCUCCUGGGUGAUGUUAGAUCUAACAAUCUACCCCCCUUAGGGGCCCGACGUCCUCAUCGGCACACUUCUGACUAUAGAUUAGCUCUUAUACCAAAUUGUCACAUCCCAACCCGGGCUCCAUCACAUCCUAGGCUUGACUCCGCCGUAGCAUGAUAUUGUCCCAUUUGGGCUUACCAUUCCCUCACAGUUUUGUUUCUGGGAACUCAUACGAGAACUUCUCAGUGGGUCACCCAUCCUAGGAAUGCUCUCGCUCAAACUCGCUUAACUUCGGAGUUCCGAUGGAAUCUGGAGCCAGUGAGUUCCCAAAAUACCUCGUGCUAUAUAGAGGUGAGCAUGCACAUAUAAGGUAUAGAUGAUCCACUCCUCUGUGCGAUGUGGGAUCUAACACAUUCUCUGUAGAUUUAGUAGUUAUAGAAUAUCUUAUUACAAUUAUUCUAAAGUUUAGUAGUACAAUCACAAAGAAUAAUAAGAAUAGAGUAUAGAGAGAUUGUAUUCACACCCCAAAUUACUUCUCCCACACCCUUUUAAUUUUUUAAUAUUUUUUACACACCACUAACACUUGAUAGAAAAAUAUUAAAAAAUUAAAAGGGUGUGGAAUAAGUAAUUAAUUUGGGAUGUGUGAAUAUAAUCUCCGUAGAGUAUAUACUUGAAAUUCAAUGUGAUUCUUUAUAAGAUGAUCUGUCUUAAGACUUUUUAUAUUAGCAUCUCACAAAAUAUUGAAUGCACCUCACAAUGAAAUUUAAUAUUAAAUAACUUAUUUAUCCUUUUAUGCAAUAACAAUUUUAACCUUAUUAGAUUAAAAAAAAAAUCUAUAUACAUUACAAAUCACUUUUAACGUAUUAUUUAUCUUUUUCAAUUAUCAAAACACAUCUGACCCUCCAUUACUAAACAAAACCCUAACCAAUGAAAUUACAAACAUGUUGAUUGAGAAAAAUUGUUUUUGACAAAUAAAACACGAAAUCGAUGUUUAGGAAGCUUCACAUGAGAUAAAACUUCAUAAUAUAGAAUAAACCUCUCUUAAUAAUAUAGAACAUUUUAUAUUUCAUUUGUAAGUUUUUUUUUUCAUAGGCUCAGGGUUUGUUACGGUGUAACAGAUUCAUGGUGGAUCUCUUCAUGCAUCCGAUGAUUUCCCAACCGAUCGCCAUCUGAUCGAGCUACGGUCACCGACGACUUCUCUUGUGUACGAAGACAUCACACUCAAGGAUCUCAUGAUAAACUCAAAUUUCAGAGGUGGUGGAAUUUCGAUUAUAAAUUCACUAAGGACUACCAUUGACAAUUGUUACAUUUCACAUUUCACAAGUGAUGGUAUAUUAAUUCACGGUGGCCAUGAAACCUAUGUUAGAAACUCAUUUAUUGGUCAGCACAUCAAUAUCGGAGGCGAUCACCGUGAAAAGGAUUUUUCCGGCAUCGGAAUUAACAUCAUAGGAAAUGAUAACGCAAUCACCGAUGUGGUUAUUUUCUCAGCAUCAAUUGGUAUAAUGGUACAAGGGCAAGCCAACGUGUUCACCGGAGUACAUUGUUACAACAAGGCCACUGGAUGGGGUGGGACUGGAAUUUACAUUCGGGCACCAGGGUUGACCCAAACCCGAAUCCUUAAUUCCUAUUUUGAUUUCACGGGUAUCGUGGCUGAGGACCCGGUCGAACUCCAUAUAUCCGGGUCGUUCUUCCUUGGCAAUGCCUUUAUUUCAAUCAAAUCAUUGAAGGGUGUAGCAUGUGGCAUCACCAUCGUUGAUAAUAUGUUUUCAGGUGAUUAUACCGGUGUCCCAAUAGUCCAUCUAGAUCAAUCCAACGGUCGAUAUUUUACUACUAUUGAUCAAAUUAUGGUUGAUCGAAAUGUGGUGCGGGGUAUGGUUCACAAAUCAACGGUUGCCAAGGGGUCAGUUUGGAGUAAUGGGACUAGAUGGACCGUUGAUUUCUCACACGUUCUCCUUUUCCCCAAUCUCAUACAAAAUGUGCAGUACACAUUGCAGGCAAGUGAGUCAUUUCCAAAACAUGUCCUACGAAAUGUGUCGAGGAAUUGUGUCAUAGUAGAAUCAGACGUACCCGUUUCUGCCACGUUGCAUGUGUUAGUGGAUCAGAGCAUGAUGGGUUACGUAUAAUUUUAAGUGUGAAUACAAUACAUGUACAUCAAAACACAUACAUGAUACAAUGAAGUUAGUUUCUUUUGUUUUUUUUUUUCCUUUUGAAAAUAUCUGUUCGUUGGAAAAUUAGUUGGUAAAAGGUUGAUAAAUCGUGGACUGGUUUUGCCAGAAGUCUAAUUGGACUUGGACUCUAACAAUUAAGUAGAGCUUCAAAUAUCUUCGUUAAUUUCAAAUUUGUAACGUAUUUCAAAGUUGUUAGUCCCAAAAGGGAAGGUACUAGUGCUGCGUGUUCAGCAAACUCGAUUGAACUUCUAGCACUUUUGACUGAUGUUGUUCAAAGACGUAUUAAGUUUUGCACUACUAAACUUGCUUGACCACAAUUACCCAUUUAUUUAGCAUAUAGGGUUCAAGGGAGGUUUUGGGACUCAUGAUUACCCAUUACCCAUAUAAUCAAGAAAUCCCACCUUUGAUUUGCUCCUAUAUAAAUCAUGAAGAAAAUCAUAUAAAGGAUCCAUCCCUUAAAUGUGGAUACCAGCCUCUUGCUACAUAUUCACAUGUGUGAAUAUGCUUUUUAGUUAAAAAUGAUAAAUAAAUAAAAAAUGACAUAGGUUUUGUUUUCCAAAUACUGAAACGGUUUUAAGAUGCGUUUGGUGUAAUUUUGUGCGAAUAUAAACUCAAAAAAUGAAAAAAAACGUUGCAAACAAUAUUUUACAUAAAUUUUGUAUCAAAUUGAUGCUCCAGUAUUUUUCAAGAAUAAAAUUUAAAAUAAUAUCAUACAUACUACCACAAUCACUACUUUCUCCACCGCUAUCACUCGUGCCACCAUGACCACAACCACUUCCAUUGUCUCACCAUCACCACCACAAUUGCCACUAUCACCAUCUUUAACACCAUCUCCUCCCACUACCAUCAUAGCAGCCACCACAUCAUUCAUUAGGGGUGGGCACGGUUCGGUUUGGUGCGGUUUUGAGUGAAACCGCAACUGAAACCGAAACUUUUGGCGGUGCGGUUUUGAAGCCAAAAUCGAAAUGAAACCAAACCGUUUUUAGUUUGGCUUUUGAGAAAAAAAUGUACAAUUUAAAAUUUACACCUAUCCACGCAUAAGAUGGUCUCAUUUUCCAAACAAUACAUGUUUACACAUAUCUAAUGCAAGUGUUAAUUUAUGCUGAAAAUUAAUAAAAUAGGAUCGUCUGCAUGUUUUCACUUGGCCACGAAUGAGAUUUGUAUUUAGCAGCAGACGCUGAUUAGCUCUUCCUCUUCGAAAGGUUGCAUUGAUAAGUGAUAAUUAUCAAAUAGAAUAGAGGUGGAAAUGAAUGACAUUCUAGUGUGGUUGAGUCCAAUACUAAAUGUAUGGACUCUAACAAACAACCAUAUAAAAGAUGACAUUUAAUUUGAGGUACAGUUUCGGUUUCGGUUUCGGUUUCAGUGCGAUUUUCAAAAGCCAAAACUGAAACCAAACUGUUUCCUACUAUGCGGUUCGGUUUCAAAACCGCAAAAUCUAACUGUUCAGUGCGGUUCAAUUUGAUUAUGUGUUUCGGUUUCGAUUUCGGUUUCAAGUGCCCACCCCUAUCCUUCACUGCCAUCACCUCUGUUACAAUGGCCACCGCCACCACCACCACUGAUGUCUCCAUUGUCUCACCAUUGAUGCUGCCACCAUCACCUCCUCACCAUCAACACCACCAUCAACAUCACCAUCUCCACCGCCUCAUCGUUGCCGCCGCCACCUCACCACCACCAUCGCCACUAUUACCACCGCCACCUCCCAUCAUCCUCACCAUGCAUGGUCGCUAAUAUCUCCACCAUCUCUGCCACCACCAUCCCAGCCACCUUUAAGCCACCAUUUCCAAAAUCAUCCUUCACAAUACAACCACCAUUUACCACCAUUAUCAUCGUCGCUGCCAUCACCGCCACCACACUGCCCCUCUACCCUGUUAUUAUUAGCAAUUAAUGUUAGGAUGAUAUUUUAUUUAUAUCUUGAAGAUAGUAGAAUUUGUUUAGGAACGUGGAAUAUAGGAACCUUAACGGGAAAAUCUGUGGAAGUAGUUGAAGUUAUGGUGAGGAGAAGGAUAAGUAUUAUGUGCCUACAAGAAACUAAGUGGGUUGGUCUUAAGGUAAAUGAUCUAGAAAACUCAAGUUUUAAACUUUGGUAUUCGGGCACAAAUAGAACUAGAAACUAUGUUGGCAUCAUCAUGUACAAGACCUUGACACAAGAUGUUGUAGAUGUUAAGAAGGUAAGAGAUAGAUUUAUGGCAAUCAAGAUUGUAAUAGGACAAAAACUCAUCAAUGUGAUUAGUGCGUAAGCAGCUCAAGUAGGGUUGGAUACGAGUUUGAAGGAGAAAUUUUGGGAAGAUCUUGGAGACUUGGUGCAAGGAAUUGCUCAGACGGAGAAGGUAUUUAUAGGAGAAGAUUUAAAUAGACACAUGGUCAAUGAGACAGGCAACUAUGAAGGUUUUCAUGGUGGCCAUGGUUUUGGGGAGAGAAACGAGAACGGGGAAGCCAUCUUGGAUUUUGCAAUGGCAUAUGAUCUCUUCUUAGCCAACAUCUUCUUUAAGAAGAGAGAAGAACAUGUGAUCACCUACAAGAGUAGGUCGUCAAAAACACAAAUUGAUUUUCUUCUAAUGAAGAAGGGGGAUCGUAUAACUUGUAAGGAUUGCAAAGCUAUACUGGGAGAGAGCUUGGCUAAUCAACAUCGCUUGUUGGUGAUGAAUGUACAUAUCAAAAGAGAGAGAAAAAGGAACAAAACCUUGAAGUGCCCAAAGACUAGAUGGUGGAAUCUAAAAGGACAAAAACAAGCAAUUUUCAAAGAGAAAGUAAUCACCUAAUGUGUGGGGGAUAGAGAGGGUGAAGCUAGCCAAAUGUGGGAUUCCAUGGCUACUUGUAUCUGAAAAGUAGCAAAAGAGGUAUUAGGAGAGUCCAAGGGCUUUGCUCCACGCCAAAAGGAAUCUUGAUGGUGGAAUGAGGAGGUACAAACAAAGGUUAAGGCUAAGAAGGAAUGUUGUAAAGCCUUAUACAAGGAUAGGACCGAUGAAAAUGGUGAAAGGUAUAGAAUAGAGAAGCAGGAGGCGAAAAAAGUUGUGAGAGAAGCUAAGCUAGUGGCUUAUGACGAUAUGUAUAAGCGACUAGAUACCAAAGAAGGAGAGUUGGAUAUCUAUGAACUAACUAGAGCAAGGGAAAAGAAGACAAGGGACCUAAACCAAGUGAGGUGCAUCAAGGAUGAAAAUGGAAAGGUUCUUGCUAUAGAGAACGCGGUCAAAGACAGAUAGAGAGGUUAUUUUCACAAUCUUUUCAAUAAAGGACAUGAAAUAAGUACUUUUUUUUUAGAGUUGAGUAACUCAGAAGAUUGUAGAAACUACUCCUUUUACCGCCGAAUUCAGAUGGAAUAAGUGGUUGUAGCUUUGAAAAAGAUAAGGCAUAGAAAAACAGUGGGCCUAGAUGAUAUACCGAUCGAAGUGUGGAAAGUUUUGGGAGAGACGGGUAUAGCACGGCUCACAAAGCUUUUCAAUAGGAUUUUGAAAAUGAAGAAGAUGCCAAAUGAGUGGUGAAAGAGCACUUUGGUGUCUAUCUACAAGAAUAAGGGCGGCGUACAAAAUUGCAUGAACUAUAGUGGUACUAAGCUAAUGAGUCAUACAAUGAAGCUCUAGGAGAGACUUAUUGAGCAUAGACUGAGGUAAGAGACACAGGUCUCGAACAACCAAUUCGGGUUCAUGACAGGACACUCAACCAUGGAGGCAAUCUAUCUCUUACGAAGAUUGAUGGAAAGAUAUAGAGAUAUGAAAAAGGAUUUACACAUGGUCUUUAUAGAUUUGGAAAAAGGGUAUGAUAGGGUCACAAGAGACAUUCUUUGGAGGAUUUUAGAGAAAAAAAUAGUACGAGUAGCAUAUAUCCAAGCUAUAAAAGAUAUGUAUGAUGGAGUAAAGACUGCCGUAAGAACUUAUGAAGGACAAAUCGAAAGCUUCCCCAUAACUGUAAGGUUACAUCAAAGGCUCAUCUUUAAGUCUUUACCGUUUUGCAUUGGUAAUGAAUGAGUUAACAUGACAUAUUCAAGAUGAUAUUCAUUGGUGUUUGCUUCUCGCAGACGAUAUAGUGUUGAUAGAUGAAACUCAGGAAGGGGUAAAUGUGAAGCUUAACUUUUAGAGAGAAGUGUUGGACUCUAAAGGUCUUCACCUAAGUCGAUCAAAGACAGAAUAUAUGAAGUGCAAGUUUAGUGCAAAUGAAGGCUCAAAUGAGUUAGGGGUGAUGAUCGGAGACCAUGAAGUACCAAAGAGCGACCACUUUCACUACCUAGGAUCUAUCUUGCAAAAGAACGGAUAAUUAGAUGGAGACCUCAACCAUAGAAUACAAGCUAGAUGGAUAAAGUGGAAGAGUGCCGCCAAUGUGUUGUGUGAUCGUUGUAUGCCACUGAAGCUUAAUGGAAAUUUUUAUAAGACAGCAAUAAGGCCGGCAAUGUUAUAUGGCACAGAAUGUUGGGCGGUGAAGUAUCAACACAUACAUAAAAUGGGUGUAGUAGAGAUGAGGAUGCUUCGUUGGAUGUGUAGGCACACGAGGAAGGAUAAGAUUAUGAAUGAAGAUAUCCGAGGUAAAGUAGGAGUAACCGAAAUUGAAGGAAAUAUGAGAGAAAAUCGGUGACAGUGUUUUGGACAUGUGUAAUGAAGGCCUACUGACACUCCAGCUAGAAGAUGCAACUACGGAACAAAGGUCCAGGGCCGAAGGGGUAGAGAAAGAUCUAGGAAGACUUUGGAAGAGACUCUAAGAAAAGACUUAGAGUACUUGGAUCUAACGGAAGACAUGACAUACAACCGAGUGCAAUGGCGUUCUAGGAUUCAUAUAGCCGACCUCACUUAGUGGGAAAAUGCUUUGUUGUUGUUGUUGUUGUUGUUGAACCUCUUUUAUCUAUUAUAUAGUCAUGGUUUUGUAUUAAAUUGUUGGAUUUAAUGUGUUUUGUGCAAGUUUGAUAGCAAAUAUGAUUUGGGAACAAAAAAUGAACUUAACAAUUAAAAUACGAGGAAACCUGAAGAGUUGAAGAGAUGGGCUGCUGGGCAUCUUAUAUUUGUGCCAAUAUUAGAAAAUGGACCGGUGCACUACCUAAUAAAUUGGUCCAUUGAAGCUAGCCCAAUUAAUGGGCAUUGCCUAAUCCAAUUGAUGUGGUGAUACUUAAAAAGGUGAACAGUACCGAGAUUUUUUCGUUAAAAUUCCCUUUAAAUUAUCCUAUUUCCGUGUGGAUUAAGGAAGUAAUAGAAAUAUAAAUAGGAGAAUGAGACACCAGUUGAAGACCCACCCACCUACACGCACACAUACAGAGGGGGAGAGAGAAGCCGAAAGCAAAGAGGAAUAUCACAAACACUGAAACAAGUGACAGGAAGUGGUUUGAGUUUUCAAGAGGGAUAUCACAUUGCACUACGCGGCAUUCAGGAACACUUACCCAAUUUGGGCUCUUGCAGAAUACCUCAACAUGUUACAAAAAUGGAACUGGAAGUUAACGAAUGGCUAAGCACACCGUUAAAUAGAAGGUUAUGCGCUGUUAUGUUCUUUGGUUUACAUACCAGAUACUGAAUUAGCUAUUGCAUAAUAAAGAACGCUUAUUGUAUCUGACAUGGACUUUCUUCCUUGGCAUUCAAUUACAGAAGUAGAAUAAACACUUCAGGUUUUGUAAGACAUAGUACAAAGCCAGCAUCAAAUAAAGAUUCAUAUGGUGUGAACUGCGAUUUGGUUAAAUAUUUAAUCACUGCCCAUUUGUUACGGCGUUUCAAUGGGAGCGAUGCAAGUUAGAGAGCAGAAAGUACUAAAAUGUAGCAAAUUUGCAGGGAAGACUCGUACAAAUUUAUUUUGAUGAGAUGUGACAUCUCGCAAUGCAUGAUACAUGUUGUCUAUACGUAACAUAAAUAUGUAUAUAUUUUCACAGAUUAUUCGUUCUUUAGCGGUUACAAAUCACAAAAGAAUACAUUUGCAUAGAUUAUUCGUUCUUCAGCAGUUACAAGUUCAUCAACUCUACAGACACAAAAGAAGAAAGGAACAAAAUAUGGCACAACUAGAACUAGGUUUUAUAUGUUCUGGUUGUAUUGGCAAGUCCCAUGGAUUUCCUUUUGCUUGUGAUCCAAGGCUCAAGCGAUCUUUUUGAUAGGCAACGAAACCAGUGUGCGGUAUUCACCGAGAGCCCACAAUGGGAAGAUAUUUCUGUAUGCUGCAUAGUGCAACAUAGCAUUCCUCAUAAAAACUCCCAUCAGUUCCUGUUGGGGGAAAUCGCCGUCAUCCAAUUGACCGUUCAUUAACACCGCAGCAGCCCGGUGAAUAGGAGUUGGAUCUCUCUCAGCCUAUAGCAAAGAAAAAAAAUCAUUUAGAAAUUUAUUUUUUGGAGGGAAUUGUGAAAAACUAAAACAGAACACCUCUAAAAUGUUUGUCAUGUACUGACCUGUCGACCGUGAAUCAGACCCAUUAAUCCGAGUGCAGUUUGGACUAAAUUUGUACUGUCUUGAGCUGUAUAUUUCUGAAGAGAUAGAACAAGUGAAAUAUUAGAAUUAUGCUUUCCUUGAGGUCAACAGGGUUACCUUUUCGUUACUAUUGAAUUUCAUUGGUACCUUGUUUGUGCAUGAGGUGUAGUGCUCUCCCCAGCCACCAUCUGCCCUUUGUGUUUUGAGCAAAAAGUCGACACCUUUGCGCACUGCCUCACAGUUGUUGUAUGUCCUGCCGGCAGCCUCCAGCCCUUUGAUUGCGAACCAUGUACCAUACACGAAGCAGAUUCCCCAGUUUCCAUACCAUGAGCCAUCAGGGUACUGUAUGUCUUCAAUGUAGUCUGCAGCCCUUGUGAUGAAAUUGUUGAUCUCCUUCCUUCUAUGGCCAGGGUACAACUUCCUAAACAAUGUUAAGGCCUGGAUCGAAGAUGAAGUGCACUCGAUGUACUCGUACUCAAUGACAAGGUCCUCAAGAAACU
rnacentral:lncRNA from 1 species